GGCCCUGGCAGGAAAGUCUCUUUGUUAAUCACCACUCUACAGCAUAUUUCAUUUCAAGUUUCUUACACUGAGGAUAGAGAUCUUUGGGAUUCCAUCAAUGCAGUAAAGGGUCAACUGCUGGAAGCUGAGGACUCCGUUUUGUAUCUCUAAUAGUACAGUGCCAAGCACACAGGGAGCACUCACUCAAUUCACACCAACAUAUGAAGUGAGAAAAAAUUUCUACACAUUCUAGGCAACCGUUCCAGCUGAGGUCAUCCUGGACCAACUGGUUCCCAGCUGACCUGGCAGCUGAGUACAGAUGCAUUGACUGAGUCCAGCCAAGGCCAGAACUACACAGCAGCUAUGCUUAGCCCAAAUUGCUGACCUGCAGAAUUCCUUGCUUAUUGCAGAGAGUGGCAAAUCCUUCUUUUUGCUGAAGUUGGACAUUCACUCACCCCGGAAUCAGGAUGAUGAUAAAGCUCCACCUGUUUGAAAACGUUUUUGCUUUUAUAUUCCUGUGACAUGCUCUAGGCCACGGGAUUGCAAAGAAUACUAAGCCAACAGUAAACUGAAAAUAAUGAAUGCAGCUCUACUCAUGGAAAACACAUUCACAAUACUAUUUUGGAGAAGAAUCUAUGAAACUGUGAGACUUUGUCUCACCCAAAGCUGCCUUCAGAGCUAAGCUGCCAGAGAGACUGGAGUCAAACUUGGAACUUUUCCAAAGACCCAAGUAAACAGAGAGGAAAUUUUGGAAGCUUGAAUCAGAGCCAGAAUAAACCAGGAUUUCUGUUUAGGAUGGAUAUUACAAAAGGAUCUGAAAAAAAUGAUUCAGGGAGAUACAUUUGGAUCUGGAACCAGGCAAAGUUGUUUGAAUUAAAAUUUUUAGAAUUAGAAAAUUAACUUGUAUCAAUAUUAAUCUAUAUGAGAGACUACUGAGGACAUACAGAAAGGGCAUUUGACUAAUAACACGUUUAUACUCCCUAGUAUCAAUACUAGGAUGAUGAU